ensembl:lncRNA
GCAUGGACUGCGUGUGAGGAAAGAGGAUGUGCGGUUGUUGUUAAAAGAGCUCGAUCCAAGAGGAGUGUCAAGAAGGCUAGCAAGACGUCUCAGACGACGAAACUACUUCUCUAAAGGGCCGAACUUCAUAUGGCACAUUGACUCUUAUGAUAAACUUAAGCCAUAUGGCAUUUGUAUCAAUGGAAGUAUUGAUGGCUUCUCAAGGAAAAUGAUUUGGCUCAAUGCUUACACAACAAGCGGUGACCCAAGUUGAUCGGAGGGUAUUACAUAGAAGCAGUGCAGCGUUUGGGUGGCUGUCCCAGAGUUGUGCGCGGCGAUCUUGGAACCGAAAAUGGCUGCGUCCGAGGCUUUCAGCGUUUCCUCGUCCCCAUCCAGCCAGACUGCACCAUUGACAGUUACUUGGAGGGAGCCAGCACCGCCAAUCAAAGGAUUGAAUAUUGGUGGGGUUUUUUCCGUAGGGAGUGCGUGGAGUUCUGGUUAACUUUGUUUGCAGACCUCAGAGACAACGGUUUCUUUGAUGGUGGGUUUCUGGAUAAAGGUCUCCUUCAGUUUUGUUGCAUGGGACUCAUCCAGGAUGAGUUGGAUGACACGGCACAGGUUUGGAACACACACACUAUCAGGCCAUCGAAAAAUCCUAACAUCCCCAGCGGUCGGCCGAACGUGAUGUUUGCAGUACCUGAACUCUAUGGGACAAGAGACUUCCUUUCCCUAAUUGAAGAUGGUGAAUUUCAACUGUGCAAAAACGAAUGCAUCUUUCGCCAGACCAAACCGUGUGAUCCAGAUCUGUAUGAACUAUGCAACAUCUUUUUGGCUGAGUCCAAUCUCACCCUAGCAACAGAUCCAUAUCAGGC